UUUAAUUUCUUCUUUUUGCUCAACACACAUCCAUUAUAUUCCUUCUAGUUCUACCUACUAUACUCUUGGAAUUUCCUUAGACCAGCAUCAUUCAAAUGGCUUCAGACUCUGAUCUCUACCAGAAUCUGAUCUCGACCGACGUCCAUUUCAAGAUGUUUACCUUUCUUCAACACACAUACCGCACCUUUUUCUAAGCCGACUAAUCCCUCGACUAUUGAUCAGUCUAAGUGUGAGUCCGAGUCCGAGUCUGAGUCUGAUUUUAUCGCUCGUAAGUUUGAUGAUAAAUAUGAAAGGACAAAGUUGGUUAAUAUCAUGAAAGCUGGUUUUCAGCUCUUAUUUUCCGAAGUUGAUGACAAAAGUCAAUAUACCUCUCUUGGAAUAAAGGUUAUAUUGGAGAUUGAUCAUGAACAAAUUCAAGAGGGACCUUGAAGACUCAGCCAAGGCAACACCUUGCGAUGCAUCUCCGACAUAUAAAUUGGAAGCCGAAGAUGCAAUUGGAUUAAUUUUGGACUAUGCAGGAUUUUGGAUACAUAGUUGCUCCUCUGUAAGUUGAGCUUUAUGUAAUUUGAUUUUGGUUGAAGAUUUUGUCCACAUUUAAUUUAUUACGUUUAAUUUUCCGUUAUGUUUGGGUUUAAACAUUAAAUCUCGCACUUAUUUAAA